rnacentral:rRNA from 1 species
CAAUAGCGUAUAUUAAAGUUGUUGCGGUUAAAAAGCUCGUAGUUGGAUUUCUGCCGAGGACGACCGGUCCGCCCUCCGGGUGAGUAUCUGGUUUGGCCUGGGCAUCUUCUUGGAGAACGUAGCUGCACUUGACUGUGUGGUGCGGUGUCCAGGACUUUUACUUUGAGGAAAUUAGAGUGUUUCAAGCAGGCACACGCCUUGAAUACAUUAGCAUGGAAUAAUAAGAUAGGACCUCGGUUCUAUUUUGUUGGUUUCUAGAGCUGAGGUAAUGAUUAAUAGGGAUAGUUGGGGGCAUUCGUAUUUAACUGUCAGAGGUGAAAUUCUUGGAUUUGUUAAAGACGGGCUACUGCGAAAGCAUUUGCCAAGGAUGUUUUCAUUGA